GGGUUGUGAGGUUAAGCGACUAAGCGUACACGGUGGAUGCCCUGGCAGUCAGAGGCGAUGAAGGACGUGCUAAUCUGCGAUAAGCGUCGGUGAGGUGAUAUGAACCGUUAUAACCGGCGAUUUCCGAAUGGGGAAACCCAGUGUGUUUCGACACACUAUCAUUAACUGAAUCCAUAGG
rnacentral:rRNA from 1 species